ACACAUAAAAUUUUUUGCAAAAUAAAUAAGAUAUAUAAGUGAUAUUAUUUACGCCAGUAAGAUGCGGUAGUUAAAUUAAGAAAUGUAUCCAAGACUACAUAAAAUUGAAAUGUAAACAAAGAUUACAUGAACCAAACACGCUGAAGAACAUUGAGUUUUUUUUUGCUGAAAGAAAAUUUUCAAAUGACCAGCUGCCCAUCUCUUCUGUUAAAUAUUAAUGAUAUACCCUGCGGACCCCGCGCAGCGUAAAAAUAGAUCUGUUGUGCCAAAAAUAAUUCACAAACACCUUACAUGAAUUUUUUGUCCUGUAAAAACGUUAUUGUUUGCAGACCCAUAGUCCAAACACAUUUGCAUUUCUGGAUAACCUUUGUGGGGAAACUCAUCUGUAAAAAAUAAAAGAACAAAAACUUUUUAUUGAGUGUAUGGAACAGAUGAAAGCGUGGUGUAUGCUUACGUACUCCUUCGUUAGAAAUUGAUGUCGGGUUAGCCCCUCCACCAUUAUCGCAGCAUAUCUAUCUUCUGGCUAUAUAGAAAAUUAGCUACAGAAAAAUACCAAAGACUUUUUAUUCAAUCUUUCAGUUUUUGAAUUGAAAUUAAAAAUAACUUCAACUUAAUCCGAAUAAAUAGAAAAACAAAAAGAAUAUUGGACAACUUAACUUAAUUCGAAUAAAUAGAAAAAGGAAAAGAAUAUUGGACAACUUAAUUAUUUUUAGGAUGAUAAAGUCGGCCAAGAGAGAUUAUUCUAAUUUUUCUAUAAUAUUGUGUAGAAGAGAUGACUGGAUGCUUUGCAUUGAAGCAAUGUUAUAUCACACGCAUCUUUUCAGUCAAUGAUCGUGAAAACCCUUGAGAUAACUAUAAACUCACCAUUUUGCAAUCUCUGGUUUUAUGCUAAUUACUUCAGAAAAUACAACAACUGCUCCUUCCAGAUAAGUUUAACCAAACCUGUAAAGGAAGAUGGAUGGUAAAAAAAAAACUAUGAACAUGUGUAGUCUAGAAUGUAUUCAUAUGGCUUAUUGUCAAUUAUACACUACCAUAUAGUGUUUUGAGGGUUUACUAUAGUAAUUUAGACUGGCAGGAGUUAAGUCUAAUCAAAUUAGACGAAGAUGUGUAAAUGAAUUCAUCAAUAGCAUAAUUGAAAAUUGAAAUUAAAUUAAACAUAUAAAUACCUAAAAUUUAAUCUUCAAUUAAAAAUCUUCUUGGGUUAAAAGAGAGAGAAAAUAGAUGUUGAUUGAUGAUAGGGAGGGAUUUGUUGCCAACGAUCAAUUUAUUUAUGGCUUUUAUGAUGUUAGUGUUGAGGAAGAGGACUUGGAGAGGCGUAGAGGUAAGGGAGAGUUGUGAGUGAGAAAAACCUAAGAUUUUGUUAUGAUAUGUUUAAUCCAAACCAUUAAAAUCAACCUCUUAAAAAUACAAUCCCAAUAAAAACUUUGUGCAAAUCUUGACCAUCCUUUGU
rnacentral:lncRNA from 1 species